rnacentral:rRNA from 1 species
GAUGAACGCUGACAGAAUGCUUAACACAUGCAAGUCUACUUGAAUUUGGGUUUUUUAACUUCGAUUUGGGUGGCGGACGGGUGAGUAACGCGUAAAGAACUUGCCUCACAGCUAGGGACAACAUUUGGAAACGAAUGCUAAUACCUGAUAUUAUGAUUAUAGGGCAUCCUAGAAUUAUGAAAGCUAUAUGCGCUGUGAGAGAGCUUUGCGUCCCAUUAGCUAGUUGGAGAGGUAACGGCUCACCAAGGCGAUGAUGGGUAGCCGGCCUGAGAGGGUGAACGGCCACAAGGGGACUGAGACACGGCCCUUACUCCUACGGGAGGCAGCAGUGGGGAAUAUUGGACAUUGGACCGAGAGUCUGAUCCAGCAAUUCUGUGUGCACGAUGACGUUUUUCGGAAUGUAAAGUGCUUUCAGUUGGGAAGAAAAAAAUGACGGUACCAACAGAAGAAGUGACGGUAAAUACGUGCCAGCAGCCGCGGUAAAUACGUAUGUCACGAGCGUUAUCCGGGAUUUAUUUGGGCGUAAAGCGCGUCUUAGGUGGUUAUGUAAGUCUGAUGUGAAAAUGCAGGGCUCAACUCUGUUAUUGCGUUGGAAACUGUGUAACUAGGAGUACCUGGGAGAGGAAGGCGGAACUACAAGGUGUAGAAGGUGAAAUUCGGAAGAUAUUUUGUAGGAAUGCCGGUGGGGACGCCAGUUUACUUGGAAGAUAUUGACGCUUGAGGCGCGAAAAGCGGGGGUAGCAAAAAGG